rnacentral:rRNA from 1 species
AUGCCACUGCGCGUCCCACCGUCGCGCGUGCCACCCGAAGCUCCCGUCCAGCCCGUGGUGCAGCCCCACCAGCAGCAGCCUGAGGUGACGCCCCAUCGUCAGCUCAUCCCACGACCGAUGCCGCAUCUGCCGAUUCGGUCACGCCGCUGCGCCUCCACCGCCGGCGGCGCCACGCCACCACCGGAAGCUCUUGCCCAGCCCAUGGUGCAUCCCGACGUGUCGCCCUGGCGACGGCCGACCUGCUUACCAAUUUGCGCCGUUGCUUCUCCAACUGCCGUUAGUGGCCCCCAAAGCUUCCUUCCACCGCGUGGUGCUUCCAUCCACAGCCAAGGAGCCGCACAACCCCCUGCAUCCCGAGGUGCCACCCAGCCGUCCCUCUUCCACCUCGGGUGA